GGGCAAGGGACUCUGUUUAAAGGGUAAGGAGUUCGCGCGUCCUUCACAGAACUUACAACUUCGCGCGCUUUCAUCAUCCUGCUUCAGUCCAAUUUCCCAAUCCUUCAAUUAGGGUUUUGGACCUUUCACAGUAUUCCCGAUCAUCUCAAGCAACUCAGUUUCCUUUUACCCUAAAUUUUUAUUGCAGUUUUUCUAUUCGAUUCCCCAGAAUCUCAUCAAUGAUCAUUCCCCUUCAUCCGUUUGAUUCGGUCGAAUUUCCCAACCCUCAAAUUAGGGUUUUGGCUCCAGUCAGCGCUAAAUUGAUCGAUCACACAGAUUUGCCCUCAAAUCCCUCCGGUUCACUAAGAAGGUCUAUCCAGUACAAAUAGAGAAGGCCUUGAUGUUGAAAAUAAGUUUCCAGUGGUUAGUAAGACUUAUGAGCUAGAAACUACUGCUGCAGAAGGUGUGAAAGUAGGGUUACAAAUUGAUAUUUUAGCCGUUUCAUAACAUCCACAAUAGCUUUGCGAUUUGGACGUGUUUGCAUUUUGCCCCCAAACUGAACUUGGAAUAUGGGGACCUCAUUGCUAAAGAGCUUUUGAAUAGAAGCAAGACCAUUUAUCCUCGACGAGGAUUUUGAUUCUUACAAUAAAAUUGAAAGAUUUUUCUUUUGGAGUUCAAGCUAAAUGAUAAUGAAGAUUGGUGAAGGAAAAACAUUGAUUUAUGGUAAGAUUUGUCGCUAUGUUUACAUUAAACUUGAAAUUAU